rnacentral:misc_RNA from 1 species
GUGAAUCAUCGAAUUUUUGAACGCAAAUUGCACUCUCCUCGGAGAGUAUGCCUGUUUGAGGGUCAGCCUAUAAAAAUUGACAUCCUUGCCGUUUUGCGGUGGCGUUUGUCGGGAAUUGGGUCAACUUAAAUUCUUUUGAUUUAAGCGACCUAAAAUUUUCCUUUGGUUUCAUGAACGCUUUUCAGAUAUAUUUCUUUACACGCUUAAGGUAUCG